rnacentral:ncRNA from 1 species
GAAGAACUGUAGGGACUACAGGGAUAGCCUAGGGCAUAUAAGAUAGAUAUAGCGUUUAGUCGAUCAUUUGUCUUUUUCUAGGAAAUUUCUAGUUAAAUAGAGAUAGUUCACUAAUUAUUAGUU